AAUGAGGUGCAUGUAAGUAAAAGGAUUAAUCCUUUCAUCUAAAACAACAAAGCUGGCUGGAUCUUCUUGGAAAGGUCCCAAUCACACACAUGGCGACAUUAUGUCCAAUAAAUUGAACAUAUUUAAUAUGCCUUACAUAUUUGAGAUGAUAUCACCGCAAGAUAACAGGAAAAAUACAUGAUUUUUUCAGAAAUGUCACAUUAUUAGGUUCUUUGGCAAUAAGUUACUAGGGUAGAUUAUCGCAUUACCAACAGCACCAAGAGAAAGCAAAAUUUAAAUCUUUGACUGUUUAGCAAUCUUGAACCAUUCGGUGUGGAAGGAUCCAGCCACAUCAAUUCUUUCAUAGGUAUGUGCUCCAAAGUAAUCUCGUUGGGCUUGGACUAAAUUAGCAGGCAGCCUUUCCCUCCUAUAUGUGUCAAAAUAAGCAAGGCUAGCAGACAUGCCAGGGGUACUAAUACCUGAGUUGAUAGCAAGGCAGACAACUCUUCGCCAAGCAGAUUGUCGCUCAAUAAUCUCUUUAGCAAACUCUGGAUCCACAAGAAGAUUAGCCAAAUCUGGGUUUCUAUCAUAGGCCUUCUUGAUACGGUCCAAGAACACAGCACGAAUAAUGCAACCACCCUUCCAAAUCCUUGCCAGCUCCCCAAGUUUCAAAUUCCAUCCCUUCUCCGCACUUUUUGCACGUAUCAAGUUCAUACCCUGGGCAUAGCUACAUAUUUUGGAAGCAUACAGAGCUUGCCUCACGUCAUCAAUCAACUUUUUCUUAUCAACAGCUUGAUUGGCUAGGAAGUCUCCAAUACCACUUGAUUUGAAAAUUUUGGCAGCUUCAACUCUCUCUUCUUUCAAACCACUAAGGAAUCUUCCAUCCAAUGAUGAUGCUAUAGUAGGAGCAGCUACUGACAACUCAGCUGCUUGCUGAACUGUCCAUUUACCAGUACCUUUCAUGCCAGUUUUGUCCAAAACCUUGUCAACCAA
rnacentral:misc_RNA from 1 species